rnacentral:rRNA from 1 species
AUGAAGCUAAACGUGGAAGGGGCUUGGUGGGUGGUAACAAAAUAUGUUGGACACCACAACCAUGACAUGAUAAAGACAUUUGACCUUGUGAAGUUUCUGAGCGCUCACUGUGGGUUCACCCGGCAAGAGGAACAGUUCGUGAACUUGCUGCAUGACUGCAACCUCCAGCCUGGGAGAAUGGUGCACAUCCUCUCAAUGAUUCAUAGCAAAAGCGGCAAGCUAAGAAGCCUGCCAUACAUGCCUUCACAUGUGGUAAACCUGGUAGCAAAGUAUCGCAGGGAAAGUCAACUAUCAGACAUGGACAACAAAAUUGCAUACUUCAUGCAGAGGGAGAAAGACGAUCCCGACUUCUUCUACAUAAUAAAACUGGAUGAUGAAGACCACGUUGUGAACAUGUACUUGAUAGAUGGUGCAGCACGCAGGCCUUACAAGCACUUUCGUGACUGUGUGUCGUUCGAUGCAACGUAUCUAACAAACAUGUACAAGAUGCCGUGUUGUCCGUUCAUUGGCAUAAACAACCACAACCAGUCACGCUAUGCUUGGCUGUUCAAAACAUUUCUGAAAUGCAUGGGCGGCCUUGCGCCAAUGAACAUGACAACGGACCAGGAUUUCGGGAUGCGUGGAGACAUUGAGGAAGUGUUCUCAACAACCAUACACAGACACUACAGGUGGCAUGUCAUAAAAAAGGCAGAAGAGACAUUAGGCCCUUCUUUGCUGACUACACAACGCAGUGAGGGGUUUAACGCUGUUAUAAGAAGAAGAGACGAGAUGCUCUGCUGCCACAUACUAAGGGUCAUGGACUUCAGUGCUGUGAAGAAGGUGCCAGCUAGUUACAUACUAGAGCGCUGGACUUGGAAUGCUGAUGAAGCACUUUGCCCCCAUGGCGCCCAGGAAGUGAUCGCGGUGCAUGAAGAUGGUCCCAACACAAGUAUGGACACAGUGAGGCAUAUGGUAAUGACAAGAAGAUUUGCCCACAUAGCAGACGAUGCAUGCAAGCAUGAAGAAAUGUGCAGGGCCGUAGAAAGGCACACAAAAGCAUUAGAGAGGGAACUAGAGUCAAUCAAGAAGAGGAUGGCCGAGGAAGCUCUACAUCGAUUCCCAAAAAAGACCAAAACUGCUACAACUACAUCAACAGGGCCGUCAACUGAUAACUUUGAGGUGGGCUCUGGCGCAUCAAACAUGUACACACACAUCCAGAACCCUGCCAAGACACUCACAAAAGGCGACCGAAGCAGAUUAGGUUCAAGGCAGCGCUUGAGAUCCAAGGCAAGCACAAGAAGGGUACGAAGUAAUCAUUUUCGGAAAGAUUAG